UACAGAGGGUGCAAGCGUUGUUCGGAAUUAUUGGGCGUAAAGCGCGUGUAGGCGGCUCUUCAAGUCGAGUGUGAAAGCUCCAGGCUUAACCUGGGAAUUGCGCUCGAUACUGUUGAGCUAGAGUGUGGAAGGGGCUACUGGAAUUCCGUGUGUAGCGGUGAAAUGCGUAGAUAUACGGAGGAACACCUGCGGCGAAGGCGCUCAUCUGGCCCAAUACUGACGCUGAGGCGCGAAAGCUAGGGGAGCAAACGGG
rnacentral:rRNA from 1 species